rnacentral:rRNA from 1 species
AUUGAACGCUGGUGGCAGGCCUAACACAUGCAAGUCGAACGAGUGGCGGACGGGUGAGUAAUGUCUGGGAAACUGCCUGAUGGAGGGGGAUAACUACUGGAAACGGUAGCUAAUACCGCAUACCCUCGGAUGUGCCCAGGUGGGAUUAGCUAGUAGGUGGGGUAAAGGCUCACCUAGGCGACGAUCCCUAGCUGGUCUGAGAGGAUGACCAGCCACACGGGAACUGAGAAGCGGCCCAGAACCCUACGGGAGGCAGGAGUGGGGAAUAUUGGACAAGGGGGGCAAGCCUGAUGCAGCCAUGCGGCGGGUAGGAAGAAGGCCUUCGGGUUGUAAAGUACUUUCAGCGGGGAGGCGUUACCCGCAGAAGAAGCACCGGCUAACUCCGUGCCAGCAGCCGCGGUAAUUC